GAUGAACGCUAGCUACAGGCUUAACACAUGCAAGUCGAGGGGAAACGAUAGAGAAAGCUUGCUUUUUCUAGGCGUCGACCGGCGCACGGGUGAGUAACGCGUAUCCAACCUGCCCACCACUUGGGGAUAACCUUGCGAAAGUAAGACUAAUACCCAAUGACGUCUCUAGAAGACAUCUGAAAGAGAUUAAAGAUUUAUCGGUGAUGGAUGGGGAUGCGUCUGAUUAGCUUGUUGGCGGGGUAACGGCCCACCAAGGCAACGAUCAGUAGGGGUUCUGAGAGGAAGGUCCCCCCANAUUGGAACUGAGACACGGUCCAAAACUCCUACGGGAGGCAGCAGUGAGGAAUAUUGGUCAAUGGACGAGAGUCUGAACCAGCCAAGUAGCGUGCAGGAUGACGGCCCUAUGGGUUGUAAACUGCUUUUAUAAGGGAAUAAAGUGAGUCUCGUGAGAUUUUUGCAUGUACCUUAUGAAUAAGGACCGGCUAAUUCCGUGCCAGCAGCCGACGG
rnacentral:rRNA from 1 species